rnacentral:rRNA from 1 species
GACGAACGCUGGCGGCGUGCCUAAUACAUGCAAGUAGAACGCUGAAGAGAGGAGCUUGCUCUUCUUGGAUGAGUUGCGAACGGGUGAGUAACGCGUAGGUAACCUGCCUGGUAGCGGGGGAUAACUAUUGGAAACGAUAGCUAAUACCGCAUAAAAUUGAUUAUUGCAUGAUAAUUAAUUGAAAGAUGCAACUGCAUCACUACCAGAUGGACCUGCGUUGUAUUAGCUAGUUGGUGAGGUAACGGCUCACCAAGGCGACGAUACAUAGCCGACCUGAGAGGGUGAUCGGCCACACUGGGACUGAGACACGGCCCAGACUCCUACGGGAGGCAGCAGUAGGGAAUCUUCGGCAAUGGGGGGACCCUGACCGAGCAACGCCGCGUGAGUGAAGAAGGUUUUCGGAUCGUAAAGCUCUGUUGUAAGAGAAGAACGGGUGUGAGAGUGGAAAGUUCACACUGUGACGGUAUCUUACCAGAAAGGGACGGCUAACUACGUG